GGUGGUGUAGCUCAGUGGUAGAGUGCAUGCUUAGCAUGCACUAGGUCCUAGGCUCAACCCCCAGCACCUCCA
rnacentral:tRNA from 1 species